rnacentral:lncRNA from 1 species
GCCCCUUCAUCUAUUUAGCAUCCAAGCUCCCCAACCCUUGGUGGCCACCUCUUCUCUAAAAUCUUUGCUGGUUUUUAGCCUUCUCACCUGGGGGGAAAGGCUUUCUCCUCUUAGUUUGCUCAUCUGUGGUAUGGGGAUACACUAGUACCCACCCCAGAGACUGUGGCGAGGACUCAGCCAGGUCAGUGCGCAGAGAGCAGAGUGUUGGGAGGAGAGAGAGGACUGUGGUGGGAAGGCAGGGACACCUGUGCUCUGGUGGUUACAGGUUAUAAUUCUCUCCACAUGAGAAGAUCGCAAAGGUCACACCUUCUAGGGUGAAAAUGAACUAGGGCCUAAGCUUGAGAGGAUUCACAAAAAUGAAGUUUGGCCUAUGGCUCCAGUUUAAGCAGCUGCGGCCUCAAGCUCCUGUGGGCCAGGAGGGAGCCGUUGCUGCACUUGUGGUCAG